GAGGAAAGUCCGGGCUCCAUAGGGCAGGGUGCCAGGUAACGCCUGGGGGGCGCAAGCCCACGACCAGUGCAACAGAGAGCAAACCGCCGAUGGCCCACGCAAGUGGGAUCAGGUAAGGGUGAAAGGGUGCGGUAAGAGCGCACCGCGCGUCUGGUAACAGUUCGCGGCACGGUAAACUCCACCCGGAGCAAGGCCAAAUAGGGGUUCAUAAGGUACGGCCCGUACUGAACCCGGGUAGGCUGCUUGAGCCAGUGAGCGAUUGCUGGCCUAGAUGAAUGACUGUCCACGACAGAACCCGGCUUA
rnacentral:RNase_P_RNA from 2 species